rnacentral:tRNA from 2 species
GGAGAGAUGGCAGAGCCUGGUUGAAUGCACUGAACUCGAAAUUCAGCGUGCCCUUGCGGGCACCGGGGGUUCGAAUCCCUCUCUCUCCG